rnacentral:rRNA from 1 species
AAAUUGAAGAGUUUGAUCAUGGCUCAGAUUGAACGCUGGCGGCAGGCCUAACACAUGCAAGUCGAGCGGUAGCACAGAGAGCUUGCUCUCGGGUGACGAGCGGCGGACGGGUGAGUAAUGUCUGGGAAACUGCCUGAUGGAGGGGGAUAACUACUGGAAACGGUAGCUAAUACCGCAUAAUGUCGCAAGACCAAAGUGGGGGACCUUCGGGCCUCAUGCCAUCAGAUGUGCCCAGAUGGGAUUAGCUAGUAGGUGGGGUAAUGGCUCACCUAGGCGACGAUCCCUAGCUGGUCUGAGAGGAUGACCAGCCACACUGGAACUGAGACACGGUCCAGACUCCUACGGGAGGCAGCAGUGGGGAAUAUUGCACAAUGGGCGCAAGCCUGAUGCAGCCAUGCCGCGUGUGUGAAGAAGGCCUUCGGGUUGUAAAGCACUUUCAGCGGGGAGGAAGGCGGUGAGGUUAAUAACCUCAUCGAUUGACGUUACCCGCAGAAGAAGCACCGGCUAACUCCGUGCCAGCAGCCGCGGUAAUACGGAGGGUGCAAGCGUUAAUCGGAAUUACUGGGCGUAAAGCGCACGCAGGCGGUCUGUCAAGUCGGAUGUGAAAUCCCCGGGCUCAACCUGGGAACUGCAUUCGAAACUGGCAGGCUAGAGUCUUGUAGAGGGGGGUAGAAUUCCAGGUGUAGCGGUGAAAUGCGUAGAGAUCUGGAGGAAUACCGGUGGCGAAGGCGGCCCCCUGGACAAAGACUGACGCUCAGGUGCGAAAGCGUGGGGAGCAAACAGGAUUAGAUACCCUGGUAGUCCACGCCGUAAACGAUGUCGAUUUGGAGGUUGUGCCCUUGAGGCGUGGCUUCCGGAGCUAACGCGUUAAAUCGACCGCCUGGGGAGUACGGCCGCAAGGUUAAAACUCAAAUGAAUUGACGGGGGCCCGCACAAGCGGUGGAGCAUGUGGUUUAAUUCGAUGCAACGCGAAGAACCUUACCUGGUCUUGACAUCCACAGAACUUUCCAGAGAUGGAUUGGUGCCUUCGGGAACUGUGAGACAGGUGCUGCAUGGCUGUCGUCAGCUCGUGUUGUGAAAUGUUGGGUUAAGUCCCGCAACGAGCGCAACCCUUAUCCUUUGUUGCCAGCGGU